GCUGUUCUGGCCGAGUGGUCUAAGCCGCUGUGUUCAGUUUUAGUCCUCUCAGGAGGGCGCAGGUUCAAAUCCUGCGGACAGUA
rnacentral:tRNA from 1 species